UUUGACCUCGGAUCAGGUAGGAAUACCCGCUGAACUUAAGCAUAUC
rnacentral:rRNA from 35 species